rnacentral:lncRNA from 1 species
GCUCAGUCGACCAUCUGUUGGGUUGCAUGGCUUCGUGUGGAGUAAACUAGAGUGGACCUUGUAUGGACGGCUUCCAGCGCGGCUGUCAUUACAUCAGCGUCCGCCAUGAAACCAACAGUCUCUUUAAUAUGGGGGAAGCCGCGCGCGAGCCGAUUAGGCGUCGCCGCCUGAGCGCGUGUCAACAAUAACACGCGGCACUGGCGCUGAUAGCGCCGUGGCUUUUUACGGACGAAACCAGCUCGCGCUCAUGUGGACUUGACCAGCGACGAACCGAUGCUGCUGACGUGAAUAUGAACGUGAGGUCGAAACACCGCCCACCAAUAAUAGACGCCAGGUGCGACGGCGGAAUUGACAUUCUGAAUUUGUCACGGAGAUAACGUUUCAAUUCAGUAUUUUUCCAGCAAAGGCACGGAAGGAAUUCUGGAACUUUUUUUUUCUUCCUCGAGGACAGAGCCGGCUCUGGCUGCUCUCGUCUCGCUAAGUGGCCGGGCCUUAGGCCCCGAGGGAGAUCACAAGGCAGCGGCGGGGUCUGUGUCAAAGCUGCGUAAAGCGCCGGGAGGGAGGGCUCCUCAGCACCGAAAAGACGGAGCACACUCGAACGCACCGAAUAAAAAGCCUGUCAGUCACUUUCCAUUCCUCACUACCCGGCGACUGCUCCCGGUGUCAGCUGAGCAGAUUGUAGACUUUGAUCACGCCCAAGUGAGGAUUUCAGCGUUUGUAGCAAGAAUCCACGUUUACCCUUGGUGAAAUGUCGCAAUAGUGUAACCUUUCACUUUGCACAGUCACCUCAGCUUCACGGAGACUGAGUGAAGUCAACUGGUGUCUCUUCUUCAUAGAUAACUAUCCCACAACGUACUGAGCCUUUAUAGAGUUUACCUCCCACUCAAAAACUCAGCCGAGCUCUUUGACAAAAAAAGCGAGAGUCGUCAAGGACGAGACUCAGACCGGGCGAUGGACGUCUGGGGAACUCUUAAAUAGAUUUCAGUUCCCUUGUUUAAUAAAUGGUGAAUUCUGUCCA